rnacentral:lncRNA from 1 species
GGUGGCCCCGAGGAGACAAGCGUGGCCGCAUUAGCUCUUUCUGCCUCCCACGCAGCCUUAUUUUUUUUAUUGUUGUUUUCUUGUUGCUGUUGUUGUUGUUCUCGGAGACGGAGUCUUGCUCUUGCUCUGUCGUCGCCCACGAUAGAGUACAGUGGCGUGAUCUCUGCUCACUGCAACCUCCGCCUCCUGGGUUCAAACAAUUCUGCCUCAGCCUCCGGAGUAGCUGGGAUUACAGGCGCGCGCCACUAUGCCCGGCUAAUUUUUGUGUUUUUAGUAAAGACGGGGUUUCACCAUGUCGGCCAGGCUGUUCUCGAACUCCUGACCUCGUGAUCCCUCCGUCUCGGCUUCCCAAAGUGCUGGGAUUACGGGCGUGAGCCACCGUGCCCGGCCGCAGCCUUGUUUUGACUGAGUCAGUGGGAGCCAUUACUGUUCCUAAAUGUAAACUGGCGUGACAGGAGUUCCGGGAUUGUCCACAGCACGGUGAUGUGGAAGCCCUGGGGAGAGAAUGAUAAAGAAAGGGGAUGAGGAACAGCUCCACCCGGAAGAGCGGGCUUCCCUAGCAAAUGAAUCUGGAAGGGCGCAGGGGAGGGGGCACGGCGAGUUCAGAUGGACCGAGGCUGGAAGCUGACGCGGUUGGAGGGGGAUGGGUGUAGCUGUUGGCAGUGGCGCUGGGGUGGAAGUGUGUGGGGUCACAGAUGUGUAAGGGUGGGCGCGGAGCAGACCCCCGAAGGUCCCUGAGGUCAGGCUGAGGCAUUGGACCAAAUCCGUACAUAGGCAUUUCUCUGAACUGCGCGCCACCUUUUGAGUGCCAUCUGUUUCCGUCCAGGACUCUGAUACAACUAUCCAGUCCGCUGCAGGGACCGGUCACUGUGUCACAGUAAGUGGUGGGAUUUAAGAGGCAGUUUUCCUCCUCAUGUUCUACCAUUAUGAACGUCUAGCUUGAAAAAUACAUACCAUUUUCAUAACUACGUAUUAUUUUGUUAGUGCUAGCAUAGUAGAUCUUUUUCCGUUAUUUUACUCUGUGGGGGGGGGGGGGUUUGUUUUGUUUUUGUUUUUGUUUUCUUUUUGGUACUAAGCUUUUUGUUCUGGAAUAAUUUUGGAUUUAUUCAAAACGUUGCAAAGACCGGGCGCGCUGGCUCACGCCUGUAAUCCCAACACUUUGGGAGGCCGAGAUGGGUGGAUCACCUGGGGUCAGGAGUUCAAGAUCAGCCUGGCCAACAUGGUGAAGUCCCGUCUCUACUAAAAAUACAGAAAUUAGCUGGGCGUGGUGGCGCGUGCACCUGUAAUCCCGGCUACUCGGGAGGCUGAGGCAGGAGAAUCGCUUGAACCCAGGAGGCCAAGGUUGCAGUGAGCCGAGGUUACACCAUUGCACUCCAGCCUGGGCAACAAGAGUGAAAUUCUUGUCUCAAAAAAAAAAAAAAGAAAAGUUGCAAAGAUCAUAAGCAGUCCACCAUGUUUUAUGCCCACUUUCUUCUGAUGCUGUCAUCACAAGCACCAACAAAAGUGGUUUGUUGUAGAUACUGACAUGAUGCAUUACUGUAACUAAAACCCAGACUUUACUGGGAUUUCACCACCUUUUCCUCCAAUGUUUUCUUUACAUGCCAGGGUACAAGCCAGGACCCACGUUCCAUUUAGCUUCCUUUUACCUGUUGUAUUUAGGGUGGGUUUCUUGUAGAUAGCAUGUAGUUGGAUCUUGCUUUUUUUUGCCCAAGCGAACAGUCUCUGCCUUUUAAAAGAGGUGUUUAUAACUGUACUUUUAUUUUUUAUGUCUUAUUCUUUAGCAUUCUGUACACAGAUACAGCGAUAAAAUGAAAUGACUGGAACUUAAAUGUGAAAACUCUUUACAAGUAAGCCCACAAUUAGAUACAUUUAUCUUACAUGUCAGGGAAAAAAAUUAUGUAAACAGGACAAAUUAUAUCACAAAAGAAUCCCAAAGUAGAAAAAAUACCUAAGAAAUGUGUCUAACCAUGAAAAGUACUGUUCUCUUGGUGUCUUCACAUCGUGUCUUCUGUGUACUUAAGUACAAAACAUUGUUGCCUCUGAUUAAUGCACCCUGUACUUAUUUUUCUGUUGUCCAGUUACAUAUUUGGUUGGUUCCAGGGCUAUGUUCAUGUAGCCAUCCAGGCAAACCAGCACCCCUCCCUUAAUCCACUUCAGAAUUUUACCCCAACUGUCUGAUGAUGUGCUCUAAGAAGUCACUAGGGGAUUGCUUUUCUUAAAAAAUCUAUUAUUAUUAUUAUUUUUUGAGACGGCUCUGUCGCCCAGGCUGGAGUGCAGUAGCACGAUCUCAGCUCACUGCAACCUUUGCCUCCCAGGUUCAAGCAAUUCUCUUUACAGGCGUGCACCACCACACCCAGCUAAUUUUUGUAUUUUUAGUGAAGACAGGGUUUCACAGUAUCUGGAAUUCCGGACCUCAGGUGACCCGCCCGCCUCUGCCUCCCAAAGUGCCGGGAUUACAGGCAUGAGCCACUGCGCCUGGCCAGUAGGGGGUUGCUUCUGAAAACUUAUUUUAAUAAUCUUGGGUAGGCCAGGCGCGGUGGCUCAUGCGUGUGAUCCUAGCACUUUGGGAGGCCGAGGCGUGUGGAUCACCUGAGGUCAGGAGUUCAAGACCAGCCUGGCCAACAUGGCGAAACCCCGUCUCUACUAAAAAUACAGAAAAAUUAGCCGGGCAUGGUGGCGCAUGCCUGUAAUCCCAGUUACUCAUGAGGCUGAGGCAGGAGAAUCGCUAGAACCCUGGGGGUGGAGGUUGCAGUGAGCCCAGAUCAUGCCAUUGCACUCCAGCCUGGGAGACAGAGCGAAACUCUGUUUCAAAAAAUAAUAAUCUUGGGGGGCAGGAAACCUAAGUCAUAAUCCCGGCUCUUUUACUUAACCAGCCGUAUGACUUGGAAAACUCGUUUCCCUUCUCUCGGCUCCAGAUUCCUCAUCUUGCAGCUGGGAUCCAGAGCUCUCACUCCAGGAGCCCAGUCACAGCAAAAACCAAAACUGUACUUUUUUUUUUUUUUUGAGACAGGGUUUCUCAUUCUGUCACCCAGGCUGGAGUGCAAUGAUGUGAUCUCUGUCUCAGCCCACAGCAGCUUCAACCUCCCAGGCUCAAGUGAUCCUCCUGCCUCAGCUACGCAGUGUAUGGUAUUUUGUUACAACAACCAGAAUGUAGUAAGACAUUUAUUGAAGGAUAUCUUGGUUCCUUCCAAGUUUUUGGCAGUGAUAAAGAAAGCUGCCAUAAACGUGCACGUGCAGAUUUCUUUGUGGGCAGAAGUUUUCAACCCAUCUGUGUAAAUACUGGGGAGCAGUGUUGCUGGUUCAUAUUCUAAGAGUAUGUUUAGGAUUAUGAGAGACCACCACACUGUCCUCCAAAGUAGCUGUACCAUUCUGCAUUGCCAGCACCAAUGAAGAAGGGUUUCUGUUGCUCCACAUUUCUGCCAGCAUUUGGUGGUGCCAGCAUUUUGGAUUUGGCAUUCUAAUAGGUAUGUAGUGGUGUCUUGUUUUUUUUUUGUUUUUUUGAGACAGAGUCUCACUCUGUCUUCCAGGCUAGAGUGCAGUGGCAUGGUCUCGGCUCACUGCAACCUCCGCCUCCUGGGUUCAAGCGAUUCUCCUGCCUCAGCCUCCCGAGUAGCUGGGACUACAGGCGUGCGCCACCACGCCCAGCUAAUUUUUGUAUUUUUAGUAGAAACGGGGUUUCACCAUGUUGGCCAGGAUGAUCUCGAUCUCUUGACCUCGUGAUCCACCUGCCUUGGCCUUCCAAAGUGCUGGGAUUACAGGUGUGAGCCCCCGCGCCCGGCCAGUGGUGUCUUGUUUUAACGGACGGUUCCCUAAUGACAUACGGUGAACAUCUUUUCCUGUGUUUAUUUGCCAUCUGUAUUAGGGUUCUCCAGAGGGCCAGAACUAACAGGAUAUAUGUAUAUAUUGAAAGGGAGUAUAUUAGGGAGAACUGGCUGACAGGAUCAUCAGGCAAAGUCCCACUAUAGUCCAUCUGCAAGCUGAGGAAGGAAGAAGCCAGUCACGUCUCAAAGUCCAAAAGCCUCAAAAGUAGGGAAGCCAACGGCGCAGCCUUCAGUCUGUGGCGGAAGGCCUAAGAGUCCCCGACAAACCACUGGUGGAAGUUCAAGAGUCCAAAGGCCAAAGAACCUGGAGUCUAAUCUCCAAAGACAGGAAGUAUCCAGCACAGGAGAAAGAUGAAAGCCAGAAGACUCAGCAAGCCAGCCCCUCCCACCUUCUGCGCUGACUGGAUGGUGCCCACCCACACUGAGAGUGGGUCUCCCUCUCCCCGUCCACUCACUCAAGUGUCAGCCUCCCUGGCAACACCCUCACAGACACACCCAGAAACAAUCCUUUUUUUUUUUUUUUUUUUUUUUUUUUUUUUUUUUUUUUUUGAGACCGAGUCUCACUCUGUCACCCAGG